UAAACAUCUUAUGGUGUGCCAGGGAUUGA
rnacentral:piRNA from 1 species